CUGUAGCACAGUUUUGGUGAGCAUUUUUCCUAUAUAUCAGAUGUUAUCUCUGAGUUAUCUAUCAGAUACCUUUCUUUGAAACUCACCCAUAAUGCAUCAAUUCUGCACGUGUGCUUUGGCCCAGUUUUAGUGACCAUUGCAGUUCAGCAUCACUGAAUAGUUUGUUUACUGUUUGGAAUUCGCAAUUUUCGUUUUGUUUACUGAAGUUUGGGAAUUGAAAUCUUCAAAAUAUUACCACUAAAAGGGCGCAUAAUAGCACAGCUAUCAAGAAAGAAAUGAACCCUAUCAUUGCACCAUGGAUUGUGGAAGCAGAAUUGAGGAUCAGCAGGAGUAGCAAGCUCUGUAAAUCAUCACAUACUGAUGAAAGUGAGGAGAGAGAAGAAGGAGAUGUAUAGGAGAAGAAGCUUAACAUGAAGUAUAAAAUUGUAAAUACUGUACCAAAAAUAUUAUUUUAUUAUAAUUGAAAGUAUGGAAUUGUAAGUACCACUGUAUCAAAAAGAUUAGUUUGUCAUUUUAUUAUAAUUUUUAUUCAACUUGGUCCAACAGAAUAUUAUUUCAUGUAUGUCUAUAUAAUUAUAGAAUUUAGUUUGUGAAACUUUUUAUAUUUGUCAUAUAUUAAAUCUUUUAUACAUUACAUUUCAUAUUUGCUACUCUUUUCAAAUUAUAUAAUUGAACUAAUUUGAAUUCAUCCAUGCUCAUAUUCUAUUGAUUAAUUACUAUACUUCCAUCCUCUAGCCCUUAUAUAUUGUAAUAUUAACAUUUUCAAAUUGCAUUCUGAUACCUGUAAAGUAUAAAACUACAAAAAUGUAAUAAAAAAAUAUAUGUACAAGGUGAUACAUAUCUUAUAGGUGUAUAAUAUGUGC